rnacentral:rRNA from 1 species
GGGAAUAUUAGAAAUGGACGAAAGUCUGAUCUAGCAACACCGCGUGUGCGAUGAAGGCCUUCGGGUUGUAAAGCACUUUUUGGAAGGAUUAGGAAGGAAUGUACUUCCAGAAUAAGUCUCGGCUAACUACGUGCCAGCAGCCGCGGUAACACGUAGGAGGCGAACGUUAUCCGGAUUUACUGGGCGUAAAGCGCGUGUAGGUGGUUCUGUAAGUAGGGCGUGAAAGCUCCUGGCUCAACUGGGAGAGGCCGUUCUAAACUGCAGAGCUAGAGGAUGGUAGAGGGAGGUAGAAUUCCGGGUGUAGCGGUAGAAUGCGCAGAUAUCCGGAGGAACACCAGUGGCGAAGGCAGCCUCCUGGACCA